AGAGUUUGAUCCUGGCUCAGGAUGAACGCUGGCGGCGUACUUAACACAUGCAAGUCGAACGAACCUUCGGGUUAGUGGCGGACGGGUGAGUAACGCGUGGGAACCUGCCCUCAGGAGGGGGAUAACGGUUGGAAACGACCGCUAAUACCCCAUAUGCCGAGAGGUGAAAUGAAUUUCGCCUGAGGAUGGGCCCGCGUCUGAUUAGCUAGUUGGUGGGGUAAGAGCCUACCAAGGCGACGAUCAGUAGCUGGUCUGAGAGGAUGAUCAGCCACACUGGGACUGAGACACGGCCCAGACUCCUACGGGAGGCAGCAGUGGGGAAUUUUCCGCAAUGGGCGAAAGCCUGACGGAGCAACGCCGCGUGAGGGAUGAGGGCCUCUGGGCUGUAAACCUCUCUUCUCAAGGAAGAAGACCUGACGGUACUUGAGGAAUAAGCCACGGCUAAUUCCGUGCCAGCAGCCGCGGUAAUACGGGAGUGGCAAGCGUUAUCCGGAAUUAUUGGGCGUAAAGCGUCCGCAGGUGGCCCUGUAAGUCUGUCGUUAAAGCGUGGAGCUUAACUCCAUUUAAGCGAUGGAAACUACAGGGCUAGAGUGUGGUAGGGGCAGAGGGAAUUCCCGGUGUAGCGGUGAAAUGCGUAGAUAUCGGGAAGAACACCAGUGGCGAAGGCGCUCUGCUGGGCCAUCACUGACACUCAUGGACGAAAGCCAGGGGAGCGAAAGGGAUUAGAUACCCCUGUAGUCCUGGCCGUAAACGAUGAACACUAGGUGUCGGGGGAAUCGACCCCCUCGGUGUCGUAGCCAACGCGUUAAGUGUUCCGCCUGGGGAGUACGCACGCAAGUGUGAAACUCAAAGGAAUUGACGGGGGCCCGCACAAGCAGUGGAGUAUGUGGUUUAAUUCGAUGCAACGCGAAGAACCUUACCAGGGUUUGACAUCCUGCGAAUCCCUUGGAAACGAGGGAGUGCCUUCGGGAGCGCAGAGACAGGUGGUGCAUGGCUGUCGUCAGCUCGUGUCGUGAGAUGUUGGGUUAAGUCCCGCAACGAGCGCAACCCACGUCGUUAGUUGCCAGCAUUCAGUUGGGCACUCUAGCGAGACCGCCGGUGAUAAACCGGAGGAAGGUGUGGAUGACGUCAAGUCAUCAUGCCCCUUACAUCCUGGGCUACACACGUACUACAAUGCUACGGACAAAGGGCAGCGAUCCCGCGAGGGCUAGCAAACCCCAUAAACCGUGGCUCAGUUCAGAUCGUAGGCUGCAACUCGCCUACGUGAAGGAGGAAUCGCUAGUAAUCGCAGGUCAGCAUACUGCGGUGAAUACGUUCCCGGGCCUUGUACACACCGCCCGUCACACCAUGGAAGUUGGCCACGCCCGAAGUCGUUACUCCAACCCUUGUGGAGGAGGACGCCGAAGGUGGGGCUGAUGACUGGGGUGAAGUCGUAACAAGGUAGCCGUACCGGAAGGUGCGGCUG
rnacentral:rRNA from 1 species